CAACAAGAGCCAAAAACUUGGUCUUCAAUCCUCAAAAAGAAAAGAAAAAAUAAGAACUAAGCGAACAAUUUUGCUUGUGAUGAUAAUGUUGAAGUUAAUGCUUGACAUGUGGUGAUGUGGGCUUCGUGUAGUUCUUCUAUGGUUACUCACAGCAAUAUGUAUCAAGACUGGUAGGCCUCAAAUCGCAAAACUGAUACAUUUGACUCCCCUGCCCAAGCCUUCACAUCCAAGAAUGGGGUCUCCAACGCGGCGGCAGCAGUGUCAUAAAUGCCGGCUUUUACAGUAGAGAAGACCAGGAAUUCUAUCAGAAAUUGAGUAUCAAUU
rnacentral:misc_RNA from 1 species